GAGGGCGCCGAGGCCAUAAUGUAUCACAUGUCGAACGUGUAGCCUUAUAACGGAUUAACCGCACUCAGCUAGUUGCGGUUAAUUUUCGACACCUCACAGCCAUUACGACUUGUGAAAUUGAAAUUCACGUUUUAACCGCUUUUUUAUUUCAAGUAUCUAAGUAAAUGUGGCCUGUGCACUCAACUUCUUAGAAGUUGCGAAAACUUAAACUACUUAAAUUGUAACUACUGACCUUAUAUGCAGACCU